UGAACACUGAGAUGAUAAUCCAGGUUAUUGUGACAUCUCCACAGCAAUUAAACAUGGAGUUAGAAUGGUCAAGAAUCAACUUUGAACCUCAACUUUUAAGCCAACAUGGAUGUGAAGUUCCUAAAAUGCUCCAAAUAAUGCAAAUUUGAACAUCAACACUUGAUUGUGCCAGAACAGCUACUAAAUGGACCUUGUGGUAAUUGUUCACUCUGCAACCAGAUCACUGUACUGAUUCCCCCCCCCCAGUGCGUGAGGUGAGAAUGGCUGAUUUCCCCUCUUCUCCACGACUGAGUAACUUCUUAUGCAAACAGUACCCCUGGUUUCUAUGGCAAUUGAGGACAACAGGCCUCCAAGCUUUCCAGCAGCCUGGUUUGUUGAUUCUGAGGGAACUAGGAAGAACUGAUGCGUUGCAAUUAGGAUAAAAUUUUCAUUUUGUUUGUUUUCAUGACCUUCAGGACUGGAAAUGUAACUACUGUUACUACUGCUUACAGGCCUGAAAUGCUGGUGGAGUAUAUUCAACAUGAUCUUUUCUGGCAUGCUAUAUUCCCCCAUGUUUAAUGGCCAAUAUUAAAACAAAUUACAGUAUUUUAAAUGUGCGUUAUUGUACAUGAGCAUAUGUGUAUUAGUUUAACUUCAAAUUCCCAGUUACCUAAUUGUAUACAAUAGGAUAAUGAGUUUUGCAAAAUCAAAGGUCAGUAGUAAUAUUUUGAAUUCACUACUACAGUGUUCUUCCAUAAUGUGCCCAUGUGCAGUAUGUAGAGGGUCAGGAGUAUGCAGGCUCACAUUCCUAGCAAACUAUAGAAUUUGAUUUUUGAUACUGAUUAGUUUCUCUGAGCUAUCUGUGAAUCGCUGGGUGGAAGAAUAAAACCUGCUCACACACACUGCUUAGGAUCACUCCAGUAGAGAGUGAGUUUAUUCCAUGAUAACAAUCACUUUAUGAACACAUUCACAGUUCACAGGCAAGAAGAGAGAUCCCUCUUCUGUUUUGUUCUGUUUUUCUCCAUUAAAGUUCAAUAUUAUGAUUAGACUCGAAGAUAAAUACCACUCUCAUGCCUGUAUGACAAAUGUAAGGCUACAGCCAGCAGGUACUUAGGGUAGCAUAAAGUGACUUCCUGGAGUACUGUCGUUUACAACACAGACAUUACAGUAUCAUCGUUCUGAUCUAACUCUCAGUAAGACAGUGAAGAAGCGCAUUUGUUUUUUCUUAUCCAAAGUGAGUGGAGGGUAUCAUAUGCUAUACAGAUUGUAAAUCUUUCAGCAUUCAGCCACAGUUCUAAUAGUUUACAGUGUAGAGAUAAACAGGAAAUGUGGGGAGAGAGAUGGGAUGAGCAAAUCUGUUAUGAGUGAUUUUGUGCUGUAUGAAUUAAAGACUUGACUGUCA